GAUGAAGAACGUAGCGAAAUGCGAUAAGUAAUGUGAAUUGCAGAAUUCAGUGAAUCAUCGAAUCUUUGAACGCACAUUGCGCCCGCCAGCACUCUGGCGGGCAUGCCUGUUCGAGCGUCAUUUCAACCAUCAAGCCCCAGGGGCUUGUGCUGGGGCCCUGCGGCUGCCCGCAGGCCCUGAAAACCAGUGGCGGGCUCGCUAGUCACACCGAGCGCAGUAGCACAUCUCGCUCAGGGCGUGCGGCGGGCUCCUGCCGUGAAACCCCCCACUGUAACCCCAAAGGUUGACCUCGGAUCAGGUAGGAAUACCCGCUGAACUUAAGCAUAUCAAUAAGCGGAGGA
rnacentral:misc_RNA from 1 species